GACGAACGCUGGCGGCGUGCUUAACACAUGCAAGUCGAACGGAAAGGCCCUGCUUUUGUGGGGUGCUCGUGUGGCGAACGGGUGAGUAACACGUGAGUAACCUGCCCUUGUCUUUGGGAUAACUUCAGGAAACUGGGGCUAAUACCGGAUAGGAGCUCCUGCUGCAUGGUGGGGGUUGGAAAGUUUCGGCGGUUGGGGAUGGACUCGCGGCUUAUCAGCUUGUUGGUGGGGUAGUGGCUUACCAAGGCUUUGACGGGUAGCCGGCCUGAGAGGGUGACCGGCCACAUUGGGACUGAGAUACGGCCCAGACUGCUACGGGAGGCAGCAGUGGGGAAUAUUGCACAAUGGGCGGAAGCCUGAUGCAGCAACGCCGCGUGCGGGAUGACGGCCUUCGGGUUGUAAACCGCUUUCGCCUGUGACGAAGCGUGAGUGACGGUAAUGGGUAAAGAAGCACCGGCUAACUACGUG
rnacentral:rRNA from 1 species